rnacentral:rRNA from 1 species
CGUAGCUGGCCUCGCAAGUCCGUCGGGAAAUCCAUCAGCCCAACUGAUGGGCGUCCGGCGGAAACUACAAGGCUUGGGACCGGAAGGCUCGAGGGGUACGUCCGGGGUAGGAGUGAAAUCCUGUAAUCCUGGACGGACCAGCAAUGGGGAAACCACGUUGAGAGACCGGACCCGACAGUGAGGGACGAAAGCCAGGGUCUCGAACCGGAUUAGAUACCCGGGUAGUCCUGGCUGUAAACAAUGCUCGCUAGGUAUGUCACGCGCCAUGAGCACGUGAUGUGCCGUAGUGAAGACGAUAAGCGAGCCGCCUGGGAAGUACGUCCGCAAGGAUGAAACUUAAAGGAAUUGGCGGGGGAGCACCACAACCGGAGGAGCCUGCGGUUUAAUUGGACUCAACGCCGGACAUCUCACCGGUCCCGACAGUAGUAAUGACAGUCAGGUUGACGACCUUACCCGACGCUACUGAGAGGAGGUGCAUGGCCGCCGUCAGCUCGUACCGUGAGGCGUCCUGUUAAGUCAGGCAACGAGCGAGACCCACACUUCUAGUUGCCAGCAACACCCCUGCGGUGGUUGGGUACACUAGGAGGACUGCCAUUGCUAAAAUGGAGGAAGGAAUGGGCAACGGUAGGUCAGUAUGCCCCGAAUGUGCUGGGCAACACGCGGGCUACAAUGGUCGAGACAAAGGGUUCCUACUCCGAAAGGAGACGGUAAUCUCAGAAACUCGAUCGUAGUUCGGAUUGUGGGCUGCAACU